GUUUCCAUCAUGACAUUUAUUUUAUCAGCCAAGCUCACGCGUCAGCCUCAUCACCAGGGGUAGUGAACAUUUAGCCUGUUUCAAAUCAAAUCAUUCACCGUGCAGCACCAGAUGGCGCUAUUGGUUGCCUGUCUCUCAGCUUGACACAUUUUUACUAUCUUCACUCAUCAUAAAAUUGUUUCUCCAGACUCAAAGAUCAUUUACAUGAUUACAACGAUAUAUUUUAUUUUACAUUUUUUUACUUAAAACUUAUUUUUAUUUUUUAAGUUCUUAAAGCAUUGUUGGUUAAGGGCUUGUAAGUAAGCAGGACACUGUAAGGUCUACUACACCUGUUGUAUUCAGCAGGACACUGUAAGGUCUACUACACCUGUUGUAUUCAGCAUUACACUGUAAGGUCUACUACACCUGUUGUAUUCAGCAGUACACUGUAAGGUCUACUACACCUGUUGUAUUCAGCAGUACACUGUAAGGUCUACUAUACCUGUUGUAUUCAGCAUUUCACUGUAAGGUCUACUACACCUGUUGUAUUCAGCAGUACGCUGUAUGGUCUACAACACCUGUUGUAUUCAGCAGGACACUGUAUGGUCUACUACACCUGUUGUAUUCAGCAUGUGACAAAUAACAUUUGAUAUCAUUCCUCCCACCCAGUGCUGCUUGGAGUGUUGUGUGUUAUGUAAAUGCACCUACUGGUUCAGGGCCUUGGCCCGCUAGCUCCUACUCUUGGCCCGCUAGCUCCUACUCUUGGCCCGCUAGCUCCUACUCUGUGCCCGCUAGCUCCUACUCUGUGCCCGCUAGCUCCUACUCUGUGCCCGCUAGCUCCUACUCUGUGCCCGCUAGCUCCUACUCUGGGCCCUGUGGCCGUGGAGGGGUGACUGCUGCCUGUUAGCCAUAAUAACAGUGCUUAGACACUCAGCUGGGGCAACCACCUGGGCUGGGGAAGGAGAAGAAACAUUCCCCAAACCUCUCCUGCCAGGAAUGUGUCCUUGCUUGAUAAUCACCAUGGUAACAACAUGUGACCUUGGGGUGGCACAAUAUGUGGAGAGGCUAAGAGACCUGGGUGUCAAAGGUGGCAGUGCCAGGGCUUCGUACCCACUGACAACUUGCCUUGUCAGCUUACUUUUGACUGGUUCCUGUCGGUCUCAUUGCUGGUAUCUCGGACUACACAAACUUUAUAUUCACUCAUUCUUUGUUUACUUCUCCUAUGUUCAGUCUGACUGGGCAGAGCACCCACCACCUCUCUCUCGGCCAUGUCUCCCCAUGUCUCCCUUCCCCACUCUCCUGUCCUGCCACCCCUCUCAUCAACCCUGGCUUUCAGUUUCCCUCCGCUUUUAAACCUGAUUUCUGUGGACCCCUGGCAUUGGCAGAUGCAAUACCUCUCCUUCACUGAGAAGGGUUCCAUAUCCAGAGAAUGGUUCCUCCUUUUAGUUAUCCAGGUCCUGUCUGGUCCAGACAUUAAACCCCCAACCCUUUUAGUUAUCCAGGCCAUGUCUGGUCCAGACAUUAAACCCAACCCUUUUAGUUAACCAGGCCCUGUCUGGUCCAGACAUUAAACCCCCAACCCUUUUAGUUAUCCAGGCCCUGUCUGGUCCAGACAUUAAACCCCCAACCCUUUUAGUUAACCAGGCCCUGUCUGAUCCAGACAUUAAACCCCCAACCCUUUUAGUUAUCCAGGCCCUGUCUGGUCCAGACAUUAAACCCCCAACCCUUUUAGUUAACCAGGUCCUGUCUGGUCCAGACAUUAAACCCCCAACCCUUUUAGUUAUCCAGGUCCUGUCUGGUCCAGACAUUAAACCCCCAACCCUUUUAGUUAUCCAGGUCCUGUCUGGUCCAGACAUUAAACCCCCAACCCUUUUAGUUAACCAGGCCCUGUCUGGUCCAGACAUUAAACCCCCAACCCUUUUAGUUAUCCAGGCCCUGUCUGGUCCAGACAUUAAACCCCCAACCCUUUUAGUUAACCAGGUCCUGUCUGGUCCAGACAUUAAACCCCCAACCCUUUUAGUUAUCCAGGUCCUGUCUGGUCCAGACAUUAAACCCCCAACCCUUUUAGUUAUCCAGGUCCUGUCUGGUCCAGACAUUAAACCCCCAACCCUUUUAGUUAUCCAGGCCAUGUCUGGUCCAGACAUUAAACCUCCAACCCUUUUAGUUAUCCAGGUCCUGUCUGGUCCAGACAUUAAACCCCCAACCCUUUUAGUUAUCCAGGUCCUGUCUGGUCCAGACAUUAAACCCCCAACCCUUUUAGUUAACCAGGCCCUGUCUGGUCCAGACAUUAAACCCCCAACCCUUUUAGUUAUCCAGGUCCUGUCUGGUCCAGACAUUAAACCCCCAACCCUUUUAGUUAACCAGGCCCUGUCUGGUCCAGACAUUAAACCCCCAACCCUUUUAGUUAUCCAGGCCCUGUCUGGUCCAGACAUUAAACCCCCAACCCUUUUAGUUAACCAGGUCCUGUCUGGUCCAAACAUUAAACCCCCAACCCUUUUAGUUAUCCAGGUCCUGUCUGGUCCAGACAUUAAACCCCCAACCCUUUUAGUUAUCCAGGUCCUGUCUGGUCCAGACAUUAAACCCCCAACCCUUUUAGUUAUCCAGGCCCUGUCUGGUCCAGACAUUAAACCCCCAACCCUUUUAGUUAUCCAGGUCCUGUCUGGUCCAGACAUUAAACCCCCAACCCUUUUAGUUAUCCAGGCCCUGUCUGGUCCAGACAUUAAACCCCCAACCCUUUUAGUUAUCCAGGCCCUGUCUGGUCCAGACAUUAAACCCCCAACCCUUUUAGUUAACCAGGCCCUGUCUGGUCCAGACAUUAAACCCCCAACCCUUUUAGUUAACCAGGCCCUGUCUGGUCCAGACAUUAAACCCCCAACCCUUUUAGUUAUCCAGGCCCUGUCUGGUCCAGACAUUAAACCCCCAAACCUUUUAGUUAUCCAGGCCCUGUCUGGUCCAGACAUUAAACCCCCAACCCUUUGUAUCUUAAGUGUUGUGAGUUUCUUUGGUUAUGUCUGAUUCAGACACCAUCAGUCAUCUCAAGGGCUGCCACUGACACGUGUCUUUUUAUCUAUUUGUCUGAGUCCCGGGCCAGCAUUGGAAUCAUCGCUCCUCUCCCAUUGGUUGUUUUUUUGGUAUCAGCAUGACGCAUGUUCAUUUGGAAUAAAUUGUCCCUUUAGUGAAAUCAACGUUUUUGUUCAUCCUUUCCUGGUCUCUGUAAAAACAUGUAUUUUCUGCCCUUC